UAUCCUUAUGUUGUUAUUGCAUACAAAAUUUUAUUAACCAUUCAUGUGACAUUUGCAUAUGUGAAAAUGACUUUUUCUAAACUCAAGUUGUUGAAAUCCUACUCGAGUUCUACUAUGACACAAGAAAGACUCAAUGGAUUGGCAACAAUAGCACUUGAAAAUGAUGUCUUGGAGAAGAUUAAUAGAUAUGAAGAUUUGAUCAAAGAUUUCAUUUAA
rnacentral:rRNA from 1 species